CUGCAUAGAAAUACUUCCUGUGGACGAGAUCUCAUCUCAGCUGCUUUACAAACACGGUUUUGCUUCAUCCUUAUAACAUCCCUCUCAUUUAUCCUGAUUUGACAGAUGAGGAAACUGAGGCUCAGAGGGGAAGCCACUGGCACGAGGUCACAGGCUGGGUUCGAACCCAUCUGCCUGAUCCUAAUGUCUGUUUAAAACCAGGAAGCUUGGUUGUCCUUCAAAUGUCCUUCAAGGAAAUUACAUUGCUUUGAAAAUCAGGGGGAAAAAAACAAACAAACCAAACGAGAAAUAUUACAUUUUUUAAACCACUUCUUCGAGCUCCGUGGGGCCUGAGACCAGCGGGGUUUGGGGAGGGCUUCUCAGCAGGGUGCUGUUUGUGUUCUGGGUGGGGCUCCCCUGCCUGGCCAGCCACCCUGGGCGUGCCCCUGACCGCUAAGGCCAGCUGUGCUCCCCUGUCUUUGUGCCGUGCAGACCCCUAUCCAACCUCUGCCCCGGCCCUUGAUGAGGUCUGCCGGCUCAGGGUGACACGGAGCACCUGUCGUGGGCCCGGCCCCCUGCUGUGCUGCCAGCCAAGCCACUCUGUGGGCUGACCCUCCUCGGCUUCUGACAGGCUCAGAGAGGCUGGUGAUUUGCAGAGGCCACACAGCCAGGACCACCCUCAGCCCCUUGCUGCACUGUCUACCUUCAUGUUAAGUGACCGUGGUCCUGGAGUCAAAGCUGGGACAGGACAGAGAGCCUCAGCCACGGACGGAGCAGAGGGGCCUCAGCCAUGGAUGGAGAAACGGGAUGGAGCAGAGGGGCCUCAGCCACGGACAGAGACGGGACGGAGAGGCAGGACAGAGUGGAGGGGCCUCAGCCGUGGACGGAGAGACGGGAUGGAGCAGUUGCUGGGGCGUGGGACAGUGGCUGCACCCCUGACUCCAGCCCUCCGCCACCCCGCUCUGGCUGCCAUCGGUGUCUUGCUGUCCCCCCAGCCAUGCCUGAGUCUGCUCUUUCACACCCGGCCCAGGAGAGGAAGGACUUGGCCAUCCUGCCACUGACGGCCCGGAGCGAAGAGGCGAACGAGUGAGGAGCCAGUGGGCUCCCACUGUCCUGCCAGGACCCGAAGGGAAGAGAUGCCGAGGGGAGUGACGGGCUCAAGGCCACACGGCUGCUAGCUGUGGGCGCAGGGUUUGAGCCCAGAACUGACUCCAAAGUCGGCACGAAGGAGGCCACCCUCUCCUCACACGGACGACACCACCAGCCCGGCAGUGUCCCCGCUGUGACGGCACCACGCUAUCCAUCUUGGGGGUCAGACAUUCUAAACAGCACUUCAGGGACCCCGCCGGACAGCUGCCCAGGGGUGUCACCACACGAGGAACUGAGGCUCAGAGAGGUUGGCGUCUCCCUCAGGGGCAAGGCUGGCCAGAGCCGAGAGCUGGGAUGUGACCAUUUUCCAGCAUCCUCUGGGCACCGCAGAAUUCAGAGAAACCAUCUCAUCCGGAGAGGCAGAGCUUCUGAGAAAUGAGGGCUGGGGUUUGGUUCUGGGGCUCGGGGGCCAAACUCCAGCUGCCACUUCCCUGCUGUGUGACCUCAAGCAAGUGGCCUCCCCUCUCUGGCCGAAGGCUCUUCUGACAACUGCAGAUUCUGGACGGACUGAUGAAGGCAUGGAAACUACAUUGGAAAUAGAAGGAGCCAGCUUAUUUCCUAGCUGACAUGUUACACCAGCUUACACUGCUCGGGGCAUCCAAAUAUCAUCCUAAUUAAACCUAAUAAACUUCAUUUGAAGAAAAAAUCAAUAAACAAGAGAGGAGUUUAUUUUUCUCUUGUGCAAAUGAAGCCCAGAUGUAGGCAGCUUGGGGCGGUUUUGGCAACUCCAUGAAGCCCUCGGUGUCUCGAGCUUCUUCCUGGACACUGCUCUGCUGUCCCUACAGAGCAGCCCUUCUUCUCAUGGUCCAAAAUGGAAGCCACUGCUCCAGCCUUCACGCCUGCCUUCCAGCUGGCAGGAUGGAGAAGGAAGGAUGACAGGUAAAGGGCAGACACCAACUCAGUCUCCAGAGAGGAUUCCAGACAUUGCCACCCUCUCACUGCCUCUCUCUGUCUCUCUGGCGAGCACACACACCCUAUGGCAAAAAAAAACUUAGGAAAAACAAUAAAAGAAAGGCAAUUUCCAAACCCCACCUGCUGAGCCCAGUGCAGCCAGGCGGCAGAGGGAACUGGGACCUCUGGACGCUCCCGGGUGCUGGGUUCCCACCAGGUCAGGUUGUUACACGGCCUUCUCAGUAAGCUGGACAAAACUCCAUCCUUCAUGCCGCUGGAAAGCAGACGAGGAACCCACCGCUGCGCAGCACUUACCUGG